rnacentral:misc_RNA from 1 species
UCAUCCUUCUCCAAUUGCUCCACGAAUAUUACCCCUUCAGGCAAUGGCACUUCUCUUUUCUCCCAUUCUCGCAUCACCAAAGGCCACGUUUGCUCCUCCACCGCCUUCUCCGUCUUCAACGUCGUUGUUUCUCCCUUAUCGUAAACCUGUACCAGCAAAGGCGCUUCUCGUAAAUUCUUCACGAUCUCCACCACCGAAUUUUUCAUCCACUCAUCCAACUUCUCAUAUACAACCGCC